UUAAGCGACUAAGCGUACACGGUGGAUGCCCUGGCAGUCAGAGGCGAUGAAGGACGUGCUAAUCUGCGAUAAGCGUCGGUAAGGUGAUAUGAACCGUUAUAACCGGCGAUUUCCGAAUGGGGAAACCCAGUGUGAUUCGUCACACUAUCAUUAACUGAAUCCAUAGGUUAAUGAGGCGAACCGGGGGAACUGAAACAUCUAAGUACCCCGAGGAAAAGAAAUCAACCGAGAUUCCCCCAGUAGCGGCGAGCGAACGGGGAGCAGCCCAGAGCCUGAAUCAGUGUGUGUGUUAGUGGAAGCGUCUGGAAAGGCGCGCGAUACAGGGUGACAGCCCCGUACACAAAAAUGCACAUGCUGUGAGCUCGAUGAGUAGGGCGGGACACGUGGUAUCCUGUCUGAAUAUGGGGGGACCAUCCUCCAAGGCUAAAUACUCCUGACUGACCGAUAGUGAACCAGUACCGUGAGGGAAAGGCGAAAAGAACCCCGGCGAGGGGAGUGAAAAAGAACCUGAAACCGUGUACGUACAAGCAGUGGGAGCACGCUUAGGCGUGUGACUGCGUACCUUUUGUAUAAUGGGUCAGCGACUUAUAUUCUGUAGCAAGGUUAACCGAAUAGGGGAGCCGAAGGGAAACCGAGUCUUAACUGGGCGUUAAGUUGCAGGGUAUAGACCCGAAACCCGGUGAUCUAGCCAUGGGCAGGUUGAAGGUUGGGUAACACUAACUGGAGGACCGAACCGACUAAUGUUGAAAAAUUAGCGGAUGACUUGUGGCUGGGGGUGAAAGGCCAAUCAAACCGGGAGAUAGCUGGUUCUCCCCGAAAGCUAUUUAGGUAGCGCCUCGUGAAUUCAUCUCCGGGGGUAGAGCACUGUUUCGGCAAGGGGGUCAUCCCGACUUACCAACCCGAUGCAAACUGCGAAUACCGGAGAAUGUUAUCACGGGAGACACACGGCGGGUGCUAACGUCCGUCGUGAAGAGGGAAACAACCCAGACCGCCAGCUAAGGUCCCAAAGUCAUGGUUAAGUGGGAAACGAUGUGGGAAGGCCCAGACAGCCAGGAUGUUGGCUUAGAAGCAGCCAUCAUUUAAAGAAAGCGUAAUAGCUCACUGGUCGAGUCGGCCUGCGCGGAAGAUGUAACGGGGCUAAACCAUGCACCGAAGCUGCGGCAGCGACGCUUAUGCGUUGUUGGGUAGGGGAGCGUUCUGUAAGCCUGUGAAGGUGUACUGUGAGGUAUGCUGGAGGUAUCAGAAGUGCGAAUGCUGACAUAAGUAACGAUAAAGCGGGUGAAAAGCCCGCUCGCCGGAAGACCAAGGGUUCCUGUCCAACGUUAAUCGGGGCAGGGUGAGUCGACCCCUAAGGCGAGGCCGAAAGGCGUAGUCGAUGGGAAACAGGUUAAUAUUCCUGUACUUGGUGUUACUGCGAAGGGGGGACGGAGAAGGCUAUGUUGGCCGGGCGACGGUUGUCCCGGUUUAAGCGUGUAGGCUGGUUUUCCAGGCAAAUCCGGAAAAUCAAGGCUGAGGCGUGAUGACGAGGCACUACGGUGCUGAAGCAACAAAUGCCCUGCUUCCAGGAAAAGCCUCUAAGCAUCAGGUAACAUCAAAUCGUACCCCAAACCGACACAGGUGGUCAGGUAGAGAAUACCAAGGCGCUUGAGAGAACUCGGGUGAAGGAACUAGGCAAAAUGGUGCCGUAACUUCGGGAGAAGGCACGCUGAUAUGUAGGUGAAGCGACUUGCUCGUGGAGCUGAAAUCAGUCGAAGAUACCAGCUGGCUGCAACUGUUUAUUAAAAACACAGCACUGUGCAAACACGAAAGUGGACGUAUACGGUGUGACGCCUGCCCGGUGCCGGAAGGUUAAUUGAUGGGGUUAGCGCAAGCGAAGCUCUUGAUCGAAGCCCCGGUAAACGGCGGCCGUAACUAUAACGGUCCUAAGGUAGCGAAAUUCCUUGUCGGGUAAGUUCCGACCUGCACGAAUGGCGUAAUGAUGGCCAGGCUGUCUCCACCCGAGACUCAGUGAAAUUGAACUCGCUGUGAAGAUGCAGUGUACCCGCGGCAAGACGGAAAGACCCCGUGAACCUUUACUAUAGCUUGACACUGAACAUUGAGCCUUGAUGUGUAGGAUAGGUGGGAGGCUUUGAAGUGUGGACGCCAGUCUGCAUGGAGCCGACCUUGAAAUACCACCCUUUAAUGUUUGAUGUUCUAACGUUGACCCGUAAUCCGGGUUGCGGACAGUGUCUGGUGGGUAGUUUGACUGGGGCGGUCUCCUCCUAAAGAGUAACGGAGGAGCACGAAGGUUGGCUAAUCCUGGUCGGACAUCAGGAGGUUAGUGCAAUGGCAUAAGCCAGCUUGACUGCGAGCGUGACGGCGCGAGCAGGUGCGAAAGCAGGUCAUAGUGAUCCGGUGGUUCUGAAUGGAAGGGCCAUCGCUCAACGGAUAAAAGGUACUCCGGGGAUAACAGGCUGAUACCGCCCAAGAGUUCAUAUCGACGGCGGUGUUUGGCACCUCGAUGUCGGCUCAUCACAUCCUGGGGCUGAAGUAGGUCCCAAGGGUAUGGCUGUUCGCCAUUUAAAGUGGUACGCGAGCUGGGUUUAGAACGUCGUGAGACAGUUCGGUCCCUAUCUGCCGUGGGCGCUGGAGAACUGAGGGGGGCUGCUCCUAGUACGAGAGGACCGGAGUGGACGCAUCACUGGUGUUCGGGUUGUCAUGCCAAUGGCACUGCCCGGUAGCUAAAUGCGGAAGAGAUAAGUGCUGAAAGCAUCUAAGCACGAAACUUGCCCCGAGAUGAGUUCUCCCUGACUCCUUGAGAGUCCUGAAGGAACGUUGAAGACGACGACGUUGAUAGGCCGGGUGUGUAAGCGCAGCGAUGCGUUGAGCUAACCGGUACUAAUGAACCGUGAGGCUUAACCUU
rnacentral:rRNA from 2 species